CUGAAAAUGAAUAUUUCUUUUGGUGCUUUGAAAUUGUUUCUUGGUGUGACUCUUUUAAUAAACUUAAAAUGUUUUGUAUUUUGCUUGCUGUAUUAUUUCCUAUAGGACUUAGGUUAUGUAAGUAUAAUGAUUCUUUAUUCAUUGGGUAGUGAUUUAGUAACUUUUCUAAGCCCACAUUUCGUUCAGUUUCCAAGUUGUUUUCUGUAUAUUUUUCUACAGGACUUAGGUUAUGUAAGUAUAUUGAUUCUUUAUUCAUCGGGUAGUGAUUUAGUAACUUUUCUAAGCCCACAUUUCGUUCAGUUUCCAAGUUGUUUGCUUAUAAUGAUUCUUUAUUCAUCGGGUAGGUAUUUAGCAAGUUUUCUAAGGCCACAUUUCGUUCAGUUUUCAAGUUGUUUGCUGUAUAUUUUUCU